rnacentral:lncRNA from 1 species
GGAUACUUCUUGCAAGUCGUCGAUAGUUCCUGGCGACCAAGGAGCUUGUGGAGAAUCUCUAGCAGCUGUAGGCGAGUGACUGAGAGGUGGCACGGACACUUCUCGCAAGUCGUCGAUAGUUCCUGGCGAGUGGCUUUGAGGUGGCACAGACGCUUCCCGCAAGUCGUCUAUAGUUCCUGGCGACCAAGGAGCUUGUGGAGAAUCUCUAGCAGCUGUAGGCGAGUGACUGAGAGGUGGCACGGACACUUCUCGCAAGUCGUCGAUAGUUCCUGGCGAGUGGCUUUGAGGUGGCACAGACGCUUCCCGCAAGUCGUCAAAAGUUCUUGGUGACGAAGGAGCUUGUGGAGAUUCGCUAGCAUCUGUAGGCGAGUGACCUUGAGGUGGCAGCGAUGAUUCUGGCAGGCCGCGA